UGCUUCUAAGAUUUUCUAAGAUCUAAGAUAUAGUAAUAUACUGCAAUUUAUGAGUCUGUCGAAAGUGUAUUACGUCUAGUUUGGGACUAUUUUUUCCCUCCCACACUGCUUAAUAUGUUCUAUCUAUGGUCUUUCCCCAAAUACCACUAUUCUGCAACUGAUUUGUGCUUGCUGCUUUGAAUUUGUUGUUCUUCCAAAUGUAUAAUAUGUGGUGCUUUCCAAAGAAAAUAUUACUACUUCUAUAUGGAAUAUAUAGAUGUCUUCUAAUGGUUGUUUGUGGAUAUUCUUUGACGUAUGCUAAAAAUGGUUGUUUGUGGAUAUUCUUUAAGGUAUGCUAAAAAGUUGUUAUUUGCUUUUAUGAAGCCUGAGGAGGAUUUGAGACCUGCCCAUGGUGAUGAAUCCAAUUUUUUACUUGUAGGUAAUACUUCAUCUCUAGAACCAAAAGAUAUUUCUUGAUCUUUGUUAAACCUUUGUAGAUAUGCACAUCAACUGUUUGAUAAUUGUUUUAGUAUGGAUGAACUCAUUGUAUUUUAAGUGAUGAAUUCUAUUGAAGUUGAUCUUUCUUUAGCAAUUUUGUUAUGUAAACUCCACUCAUUUAGGCCCUGAAGAUUACAUUAACGAAUUCCUGGAAUUGCAUUUGGGUGGGUCAGACUUGCUAGUUAGUAGUUACUUCCAUAAUCCUAGUCUAUUCUAUUCCCCAAUGGCAUACCCAUUAAAUGAAAGCACUUACACCAAUACAGAAGUAAAAUAUUAGUCUAGCAUUCACCUUUUUUUUUAGGGGCUGUGGCUUGACCAAUUCGAAUUAAUCAAAUUGAGCAAGUCUUACAUAUGUACAAUGAUUAAGAUUUGCAUUUCAAUAAGUUGUUGCUCAGUUUCUUUAGAUGCAAAGAUUUUUUUUUUUUUAGCUUCACAAACUAGAUGCAAAAGAACAAACUUCAAAAUUAAUGCUCUUGAGUCAUUUCCACAAUUACAGUGUUCCAUGCUGGAGGUCAUGUAAGAGGAACUUGUCUCUUUUUUUUCAUAUGUGCAAUGCUCUACAAAUUUCCACAAUUAUAGUGUCCUCGAGUAUUUGUUUGCGAACUCCUCUGAACAUAUUACUACUGAUUUUGUUUGAUGAUGUCUUUUGAUCCCAGACUGCGAAGCUUUAGAAUUUGGUUUCUCAUGAUCAUCUAACUCUAUUUUUCUUCUUAUUAUUAUUAUCCAAUUUGCCUUCCAACUUUUUGACAAUCAUCAUGACUUACCUUACCGAAUCAACAGGUUGAUUCUCAUCAUCAGUGCAAGGUAAGUUGCACAAUUUCUUCGUCUCUCAUUUUUUCUUUUUUUUUUCCCAUACAUUAAUAUACUCUUUGUGCUCUAAUUGGGAUAUCCCAGUCGGGAUCUAUGGCUGCUGAACUUGCCAUGUGGAAGCAAGCUGAGGCAAGUCAAGAUGCUCGCAAGAUUAUAAGAGUCACAAACAAGAAGAGAAGAACAUCGCAAAAUAGUUCAAAUUGAGUUUCUUUGGGGCAUAUUUGUGUCUGUUUUUGCUGCUUUCACUGUUUAUCGAAGUUCAAGACGGUGUAGAAUCAAGUGGCUACUUGACAUAAUGUGAUGUUUGUCUACUAUGGUGGUACCAAGACCUAAUGUUAUGUUCAUCUAUCGUGGAUUUUUUGUAUUUUGGAAAAUAUUUGGUUGAAUGUAGUAGAGAUAUUGAAAGACAACAAUGGGUUAUGGCAGGAUGUCUUUUAACAUUAGUUGUGUUAUGAGGCAUUUAAUACUUUGAGAGCUUAUGUUUUAGAUGUGGUUGAGAAGUUGUAUGCUGUAAACUAGUUAAUUGGAUGCGAAAAAUGGUGCCAUAGGGCAAAAUUUUCUAAA